UAGGGAAUUUUCGUCAAUGGGCGCAAGCCUGAACGAGCAAUGCCGCGUGAACGAGGAAGGUCUUUGGAUCGUAAAGUUCUGUUGAAGGGGAAAAAGAGCGGAGAGAGGAAAUGGUCUCCGAUUGAUAUUACCCUUCGAGGAAGUCACGGCUAACUACGUGCC
rnacentral:rRNA from 1 species